GAUGAACGCUGGCGGCGUGCCUAAUACAUGCCAGUCGAGCGAACAGAUGAGGAGCUUGCUCCUCUGACGUUAGCGGCGGACGGGUGAGUAACACGUGGAUAACCUACCUAUAAGACUGGGAUAACUUCGGGAAACCGGAGCUAAUACCGGAUAAUAUAUUGAACCGCAUGGUUCAAUAGUGAAAGACGGUUUUGCUGUCACUUAUAGAUGGAUCCGCGCCGCAUUAGCUAGUUGGUAAGGUAACGGCUUACCAAGGCAACGAUGCGUAGCCGACCUGAGAGGGUGAUCAGCCACACUGGAACUGAGACACGGUCCAGACUCCUACGGGAGGCAGCAGUAGGGAAUAUUCCGCAAUGGGCGAAAGCCUGACGGAGCAACGCCGCGUGAGUGAUGAAGGUCUUCGGAUCGUAAAACUCUGUUAUUAGGGAGGAACAAAAGUGUAAGUAACUAUGCACGUCUUGACGGUACCUAAUCAGAAAGCCACGGCUAACUACGUG
rnacentral:rRNA from 1 species